GCUUGCGCUCUCUCCCCGUCAUCUGCGCCAUGCUGCAAGUCACCACAUUUUUCAAGUCUUUGGUCGACGAUAUAUACAAGGCUGGAUUAACUAUCAUGACGAUGGCGAGAAGAACCGUUUGUACUGUAAUAAGAGCAACGAACGUGAACUACUUACUUGGCAUCCGGAACGUACAAUAUAGUGAGACCAAACGUGGUGAGGAUCGCCGGACAUAUCCAGGCGAACAUGUGGUACCAAAGAGGUCGUCCAACCCGUUCACCUAACAGCAGUUUCAUGUCGAUGGCGUAGCACAGUGUCCAGAUCCACGUGGCCAUGUAAAAAACUCAAGUGUCUACUGUCUGCGUAAUAAAUUGAAGAUACGAUCUUACGGAGGAAAUAGCACAGAACACGACGUUGGACGUGUCGUCCUCCAUCGGCAUUAUGGAUCGGAAGUUCA